GGGGGGGGGGGGGGGGGGGGCGGGGGGGUGGGGGGGGGGGGGGCGGGCGGGGAGCGUGGUCCGCGGACGUGAGCGGCGGGCGGGGGGGUGACACGGGGCGGACCUCCCUACCAGACUGGGAUAACGUCGGGAAACCGGAGCUCAUACCGGAGCAUAUAGUGAACCGCAGGGUUCAAUAGUGCAAGCCGGCUGUGCUGUCACCUGUAGAUGGAUCAGCGCCACAUCAGCUCGUCGGUAAGGUCACGGCUUAUCAAGGCGACGAUGCGUAGCCGACCUGGGAGGGUGACCGGCCAGCCGGUAACUGAGCCACGGUCCAGACUCCUACGCGAGGCAGCAGUAGGGAAUCUUCCGCAAUGGGCGAAUGCCUGACGGAGCAACGCCGCGUGAGUGAUGAAGGUCUUCGGAUCGUAAAACUCUGUUAUUCGGGAAGAACAAAUGUGUAAGUACCUAUGCACGUCUUGACGGUACCUAAUCAGAAAGCCACGGCUAACUACGUG
rnacentral:rRNA from 1 species